rnacentral:lncRNA from 10 species
ACAUGGGCAUGGCAGGACAAGAGGACCCCAUCUAGAGCCGAAACUGCAGCCUCUGGGUGCACUCUUGUUGCUUCUGGUCCACGGGCUAGCUGGGCAUUAUUGGGCUCAACUGGACUUGGCUUCAGGCUGCGGACUGUCUUCAGCUGUGCUCCUCCUGGCUCCAGGUUUGGAGGUCAGCGGUUACUCAGAGCAUGUUCUCCUCAUGAUAGAUGGAGAAGCGCAAGAGAAGUGAGCAGAAACCUGCAUCCCUCUUAAGGGCUUGGCCCUGAACCAGCACUGUCCCUCCUGUCACCAUCUCCUUGGCCAGCACAAGUGGUAUGGCCAGUUCCAACAUCAGUGGGCCAGGAGGGUGGGCUACUUCCUCCACAGUGACCAUGGCAAGGAAGGAGAGGAAGGCCUGUGGGCGAACAACACCAUGCCCUGCCACAGGGCAGCACGUGCAAUGACACAGAGGUAUAAAGAAGCUCGGCUGGUGUCAGAGGCAUGUUUGGCAGCAGGGAGAUAGGGAGCAAGGCUGGCAGAUGGUGAGUUUGGAGAAAGAAGUUAGGACUGGCUAGUGGAGGGCUGGGCUUCCUUGCCAAGGAGCGUGGCUCUCAUCCUGUAGGCAGUGGAAUGACAUUCAGGAUAAGGACUCGCUCGGCCUGCAGCUCCCUCCUCCCACCCUGCUGCUGUUCCUGCUCUGGGGCACACAGGAGCAUGCAGUGGCUGAAUGGAAACUGACGCCGGCUGCCAGGGACGGAGAAGAGUUUGGGGACAGGUCUGGGCUCAUUGCCCAUGCCAUCCUGGGUACGCAUGUGUCAACACAUACAAUUAGCUUUGAGUGCCCGGGCCUGCAAAGUACAAUUGAAUGCCUGAAAGCAUUUGGCUGACCUCAAGGAAAAAGUCUUUAAGCGUAGGAGUUCUGUCACAAAAAUAAAUGGUCAUUUAGAAAGGAAUAGAGGAAAGAAGCUGAAACACUUAGGUGUGAAUCAGUCGCCACUAAUUGCUAGUAUAUUGCAUAACCCAAGGCUCAGUUUCCACAGCUAAAAAAUGCUUCCAUUAAACUCCCAUACUUCACAGAGUUUAUAAAAAGUAUAUGAAGUAAUAUAUGUAAAAAUCUUUAAAUCAUUAUAUAAAUACAAGCUACUUAUAUUUAUGUUUAAGGUAGCCGAAGUGAAGGGAAUAGCUAUCCAUCCAAUGAACCAAGCACUAUAUCUUCAGUGGACUCUGGAGCCAGCAGGGAUGUGGGUGGAGUGUACUGCCCCUAAAUGCCUGUUGGAGAUCAAGGGGGGAACUGCAAUGCCAGGCUCCUUCACAGACAACAUGCCAAGGCAAAGGGCACCAAAAGAAAGCACCAUAGCCAUGGUGCCCAAGAGAUGAUAUGGUGAUGAAACCGACAAAUGCACCUUCUGCCACUGGGAUGUCAUUUCAAUAGACAGAAAGUGUUGCUAUGAACUCACCCAUGAAUGCCUCUUUUAGAACCAGAUGAAACUCAGUAUUUACUCUUCAUGCACUUAAAAAAAUGAGCGACCUUCAACACUCAUUGGGAGGACCUUCAACUCCUUCAUCAGUAAAUCCAGAAAAAGGAAAAUGGAGACAGGGAGAAAGAAAGGAGUGACGGGAGAUACACUAGUGCUGAAGAAAUGCAAAAAGCAGAAGCAGGUGCUUAUUCCAACUAAAAAUAAUCCACGGAAACAAGACACCUUGAAGUGAGAUUUGUUUGUAUAUUUCAUAUCUGACAACAGGCAGAGUCCCCGGAGCAGGUGCAAUGAACGCGGAUAGGAAACAGUUUGAUUCUGAAUCUACUAGUGGGAGGGGUCCCAAAGCAGCUUCAUUCUGAGGCCAGACUUAGGCUGGAAGCCAACUUUGUUAAAAACAAAUAAAAGUCAGCUGGAUUUUAUGGACAUUUUACGCACAUUUCAAACUUCAGAGGAGAAAAGAUGACCACAGUGGUUUUCUGGAAUAUGUCAAGGGAACACAGUCUUGUUUUCCCCACAGGGGAAAGUUUCUUGGGUAAGGUAUUGAAAGUACAGGUGCUCCCUGAAUUACAAGGGAGAUAAUUCUGAUAAGUCAAUCAUCAAUUGAAAAUAUUAUCAUUUGAACAUGCAUGUAAUACACCUAACCUACCAAACAUCACAGCUUAGUGUAGCCUACCUUAAUCGUGCUCAGAUACAUUAGCUUAUUCCUUUAGAAAGGAAUAGACGAAAGAAGCUGUUAGCCUAUAGUUGGGCAAAAUCAUCUAACGAAAAUCUCCCUUUAUAAUAAAGUGUUGAAAAUUUCAUGCAAUUUAUUGAAUACUGUACUAAAAGUGAAAAACAAAAUAGUUGUAUGGCUACGUUAAUUGAGUCAAAAUACUGUCAGUCAAACGCUUGUAAGUCAGGGACCACCUGUAUGCGCAUCCUAGAAAGUACUUCUUAUAAAGUGCUCCAGGAUCAGGGUUGUAUGAAAAGGAGGGAGAUGAGUGUGUGCCACAGAAUCAAGAUAACGGAGUGAAGCAAGAAUUUAAAGACAGCAGAAAAUAGCAGAUAACUUAGCCAGGCUGGCAUGGCAAGAAGGGAGUUGAUGAGGUUGGUCUCCAUGACCAUUGGUUUCUUCCCUUUCAUUUCCUUUCCCCCUUCCCCUUCACCUUCUUGUUCUAUUGCUCUCCUUCUCAGUAUUUUGUUUUUUUCUUAUAUCAAAUAUGUUCUAAUUGUAUAAGGAAAUUGUUUAUAGUGCUACUAUCCUGAUAUAAAAUACCUUAUGGCAAUAUCACUAAAAUAUAAUAAACAAGUAAUUAUGUUUUACUUUUCAUACCUACACUAUAAACCUGGGAAAU